GAAAUUUUGAGUUCAACUGGGAAACUGCUGCUUGUCUUUUUGUUACAGGAAUAUCUAUCAUAAGAAAAGAUUUGCAGAUUGGGGAAGAUAAUCCCAUUAGCAUCUCCUGUUCUUAUUCACCUUGCUAAGGGUCUGUGAGGAUUCAUUUAUUUUUGAAAUGUUCAGAAAUCCUCAGAGAAUGCUAUGGUCUCUGCAUUAUUUUAAAUUUUUCAUCUCCUGAACGUGUCACUCAGCAAUAAGAAGGGCUGUCAGAACGGCUCAUCUCAGUCUCAGAGUGAAUGCUAUUAACAUUACGGAAUAACGCCUUUGACCCUUUCUAAAUUGCAUGUGCUUACUUUCUGGAUUAUCAGCGUGAGCAUGGCACUUACCACUGUGUUUGCUCUGGAGGCUUGAAUUCGUGAGCCUGCUCUCCCCUUCAUUCCCACUGUCGGAAGAUGACAGAGCUGUGAAAGAUUGCAGCGAGCCUCAGCAUAGCCUGGAUGAAAAGGCGAGUGCACCUCCACCAGCUAUGAGAGCUCAAGAUGAAAUGUCAGCCUCGGCUUUUGACUACAACCUGAAAAUUGAAAAUAAGAAGCGCUGUGACAUUUUAGCUCUGAGACCUUUAUUUCCUGGCUAUGGAAAAUAGACCUGGCUGCAUCUGAGCUUGUUCCCAUCAUCAUGAAGCCAAAGAAAGUCAUGCAGCCAAAAUAUCAUCU